CUCAGUUUCUUCAUGCAACUGGCUGCCUAUGAAAGAAAGAUCAUCGAAUCUCUUGUCAUUUGCUCAAAUCAAUCAUCCCUUAUUCCCCAUCUUGGGUGAAAUACUGAAAAUAGAAUGAGAUGCAGAACUUAAUGGCAUAGAAUUGUUGAUCAAACUGUCUCUUCCACCGACUGGCAUAAAUAGAACGUUCCAGGAAUCUAGAGUCACCACUCUUAAAUGUGAAGCGAAGGCCAAAGUCGCUAUCUGCAGAGAGUGCUGAAUAUAUAUAAUCAGGUGGGAAGGAUUUGGCAUGUGCGGGAAAACGUCGUCGGACCAUGGGGGAGGAAAUGGCGGGAUCAGCUGGGAUGAUGGAAUCUUCAAUGAUGUGAGAGAGAUCAAAGUUUUUAUGGCCAUUGCAUCGACUCCAUCCAGGUGGUGUAUGAUAAGAACACUAAGCCUUUCACAGCUGAUAAGCAUGAAGGUGUUCGAGGUGAUCAAAUUGCUCAGCCAAAAUACCCAGAAGAGUUCUUGAUCAGUGAGUGGUUUACAGCACCAGCCCUGGGGUCAGAUCACUGACGUUUAAGAGCAACAAGAGAACCUACGGUUCUGGAGUUGAAGAGACGUCAUUUGCUUUCUCAACGGAUGGAAGGCUAGUUCUUGGUUUCAAAGGAAGCAGUGGUUGGUAUCUUGAUUCAAUUGGCUUCCAUUUAUCCAAUAAUCAAUCAACAAGACUCCACAAGGUCCAGAAGAAGUUUCAGAAACUUUCAAGUAAGGCUUCAAAAUAGUCUGCUGCCAAGGAGACUCAGAAAAUCUCAGAUUUAACACACAGUAUGACUAAGACGUAUUAUGAACCGAUACUUAAAAGGGUGAACACUUGCAUGGAAUAUAUAUUUAAUUCAUACUGCAUAUAUUUUGAAUUUUUAGUUGUA